AUUGAACGCUGGCGGCAUGCCUUACACAUGCAAGUCGAACGGCAGCACGGGUGCUUGCCCCUGGUGGCGAGUGGCGAACGGGUGAGUAAUACAUCGGAACAUGUCCUGUAGUGGGGGAUAGCCCGGCGAAAGCCGGAUUAAUACCGCAUACGAUCUACGGAUGAAAGCGGGGGACCUUCGGGCCUCGCGCUAUAGGGUUGGCCGAUGGCUGAUUAGCUAGUUGGUGGGGUAAAGGCCUACCAAGGCGACGAUCAGUAGCUGGUCUGAGAGGCCGACCAGCCACACUGGGACUGAGACACGGCCCAGACUCCUACGGGAGGCAGCAGUGGGGAAUUUUGGACAAUGGGCGAAAGCCUGAUCCAGCAAUGCCGCGUGUGUGAAGAAGGCCUUCGGGUUGUAAAGCACUUUUGUCCGGAAAGAAAUCCUUGGCCCUAAUACGGUCGGGGGAUGACGGUACCGGAAGAAUAAGCACCGGCUAACUACGUG
rnacentral:rRNA from 1 species